rnacentral:rRNA from 1 species
CACUUUGUCUUUAUGGCAAAUGUGAGAUGCAGUGUAUGGAAUGCCAAAUUUCUAGUAUGAGAAAUUAACGAUUUAAGUCCUUCUUAAAUGAGGCCAUUUACCCAUAGAGGGUGCCAGGCCCGUAUAACGUUAAUGAUUACUAGAUGGCAUUUCCAAAGAGUCGUGUUGCUUGAUAGUGCAGCACUAAGUGGGUGGUAAACUCCAUCUAAAACUAAAUAUAACCAUGAGACCGAUAGUAAACAAGUACCGUGAGGGAAAGUUGAAAAGAACUCUGAAUAGAGAGUUAAAUAGUACGUGAAACUGCUUAGAGGUUAAGCCCGAUGAACCUGAAUAUCCAUUAUAGAAAAUUCAUCAUUAUGAUUUUAAUAUUUGCAAUAUUAUAAUAAUGGUGUGCAUUUUUUCUAUAGAGGACAUUGUAAUCUAUUAACAUAAAAUUAAAUUUAUCAUAAGAUCAAUUAUGCGUAAGUUUAUUCACAUUAUUUUGCUUGCAAUUUAACAUACAAUAAAUGCUUUUGAUUUGAUAAAGUGUUGAUAGAUUUAUUAUAUAUAGUGCUUAAAUAUUUAUAUUUUAUAAUAGCAUAUUAAUUUUUAAUUUUUGUGUUUAUUAUAUGCACUGAUAUGAUUAACAAUGCGAAAGAUUCAGGAUACCUUCGGGACCCGUCUUGAAACACGGACCAAGGAGUCUAACAUAUUUGCAAGUUAUUGGGAAUAAAAACCUAAUAGCGAAAUUAACAUAACUUAAAUAUAAUGGGAUUAGUUUUUAGCCUAUUUAUAGUAUAUUAAUUCAAUCCCGGGGCGUUCUAUACAGUUAUGUAUAAUAAUAUUUAUAUUAUUUAUACCUCUAACUAGAACGUACCUUGAGCAUAUAUGCUGUGACCCGAAAGAUGGUGAACUAUACUUGAUCAGGUUGAAGUCAGGGGAAACCCUGAUGGAAGACCGAAACAGUUCUGACGUGCAAAUCGAUUGUCAGAAUUGAGUAUAGGGGCGAAAGACCAAUCGAACCAUCUAGUAGCUGGUUCCCUCCGAAGUUUCCCUCAGGAUAGCUGGUGCAUUUAAAAWUUAUGUAAAAUAAUCUUAUCUGGUAAAGCGAAUGAUUAGAGGCCUUAGGGUCGAAACGAUCUUAACCUAUUCUCAAACUUUAAAUGGGUAAGAACCUCACCUUUCUUGGUAUGAAGGUCGUGGUUGUGAUAUAAUGUGCCCAGUGGGCCACUUUUGGUAAGCAGAACUGGCGCUGUGGGAUGAACCAAACGUAAUGUUACGGUGCCCAAAUUAACAACUCAUGCAGAUACCAUGAAA